GAAACGACAUUGAAGCUUGCUUCGAUGGGCGUCGACCGGCGCACGGGUGAGUAACGCGUAUCCAACCUACCUCUGACUAAGGGAUAACCCGGCGAAAGUCGGACUAAUACCUUAUGAGGUUUUCUGCAGACAUCUAAUGAAAACGAAAGAUUUAUCGGUCAGUGAUGGGGAUGCGUCUGAUUAGCUUGUUGGCGGGGUAACGGCCCACCAAGGCAACGAUCAGUAGGGGUUCUGAGAGGAAGGUCCCCCACAUUGAAACUGAGACACGGUCCAAACUCCUACGGGAGGCAGCAGUGAGGAAUAUUGGUCAAUGGGCGAGAGCCUGAACCAGCCAAGUAGCGUGCAGGAUGAUGGCCCUAUGGGUUGUAAACUGCUUUUAUGUGGGGAUAAAGUGAGCUACGUGUAGUUUAUUGCAGGUACCACAUGAAUAAGGACCGGCUAAUUCCGUGCCAGCAGCCGCGGUAAUACGGAAGGUCCAGGCGUUAUCCGGAUUUAUUGGGUUUAAAGGGAGCGUAGGCCGUGGAUUAAGCGUGCUGUGAAAUGUAGACGCUCAACGUCUGAAUUGCAGCGCGAACUGGUUCACUUGAGUAUGCACAACGUAGGCGGAAUUCGUCGUGUAGCGGUGAAAUGCUUAGAUAUGACGAAGAACUCCGAUUGCGAAGGCAGCUUACGGGAGCACAACUGACGCUGAAGCUCGAAGGUGCGGGUAUCAAACAGGAUUAGAUACCCUGGUAGUCCGCACAGUAAACGAUGGAUGCCCGUUGUUAGUUCACUUAUGAAUUAGCGACCAAGCGAAAGCAUUAAGCAUCC
rnacentral:rRNA from 1 species